CCUACGGGAGGCAGCAGUGGGGAAUAUUGCACAAUGGGGGAAACCCUGAUGCAGCGACGCCGCGUGAGUGAAGAAGUAAUUCGUUAUGUAAAGCUCUAUCAGCAGGGAAGAAAAUGACGGUACCUGAGUAAGAAGCCCCGGCUAACUACGUGCCAGCAGCCGCGGUAAUACGUAGGGGGCAAGCGUUAUCCGGAUUUACUGGGUGGAAAGGGAGCGUAGACGGCAGUGCAAGUCUGGAGUGAAAGGCGGGGGCUCAACCCCCGGACUGCUCUGGAAACUGGACGGCUGGAGUGCAGGAGAGGUAAGUGGAAUUCCUAGGGUAGCGGUGAAAUGCGUAGAUAUUAGGAGGAACACCAGUGGCGAAGGCGGCUUACUGGACUGUAACGGACGUUGAGGCUCGAAAGCGUGGGGAGCAAACAGGAUUAGAUACCCUGGUAGUC
rnacentral:rRNA from 1 species